UCUUUAAUUUUUUGUUCUCCAGAGUUGUCCACACCCUCAGCCACAAUUUUCGUAGUGCUACCAGCGUAGUGCGUACGCCAUUGAGGUUACCAAUCAAACCAGAUCAUGUCCUGGUGAAAAUCAUUUAUGCUGGCGUCAAUGCUAGUGAUGUUAAUUUUAGCUCAGGAAGUUAUUUUAGUGGCAACAA